UACGUAGGGGGCAAGCGUUGUCCGGAAUCAUUGGGCGUAAAGCGCGUGUAGGCGGCUCGGUAAGUCUGCUGUGAAAGUCCAGGGCUCAACCCUGGGAUGCCGGUGGAUACUGUCGAGCUCGAGUCCGGAAGAGGCGAGUGGAAUUCCUGGUGUAGUGGUGAAAUGCGUAGAGAUCGGAAAGAACACCAACGGCGAAAGCACUCUGCUGGGCCGACACUGACACUGAGAGACGAAAGCUAGGGGAGCAAAUGGG
rnacentral:rRNA from 1 species